ensembl:lncRNA
CCGUCGCUUCCUCCGUCCCGGCGCGGGCGCGGCGGCGCGGAGCGCUCUGUCGGGAGUGAGGAGGCGCGGGCGCUGCCCGGGGCCGAGGGGCGCCGAGCCCUGCUCACCGCCGCCUUGAGGGGCCGGGGCACCCCGCCCGGGCCAGCGCGCCUCGAGCCACCGGGGCGACGCUGGGACCGUGGUCAGCAGGGUGCCCUUCCCCGACGGGGACGGAACCCCGACGGCGUCCGGGCCGGAAGGGCGGGCGCCCCGGACCGCGAACCUCCCCGCCGGGCAGUUUAGCAGGAGAGGCCUCCCAGGGCCGUUCACACAGGCCCGCGGUUCGCUUAGCAACUCGCGCAUUUUGGAAAAAGAAGUGUCCCACGCCUCGUCCCAGCGGAGGCGGGGGAGCGCGUGCGCCCUCGCGGGGAGGCCGGGGUGCCCCCCGGCGGCAGCCCCGGACCUGCGGGCCCUGCGACGGCCCCGGGGAGGCUUCGUGUGGCCGCCCCUGCGCGUGCGCGUCACACGGCUCGCGGGUGGCGACCCCCGACGCGCACCGCCCGGGAGACUGUUCUCGCCCUCGAGAGGGAGGACCACGCAGGGCCCUCCGCGUGGAUGCUGCUGUCACGUGUUUGUUGACUCGGGGAGAAUCGGAUGCUGGGCCUGCGAAUGUGUCUCCCUGAGAGGCUCUUUCAGAAAUGCACGGGCGCGGUGCUGAGACACCUGGGAUUGGCUGUCACACGAUGCGCUGAGCGAGGGGACGCACGGGGCCCGCAGCUCGUCGUCCUUGGAGCUGGUGAUGGCCCCACGGCGCUACCCCGUCCUCCUCUUGGACGCAUUUGCGCUUCCCUUUAAAAAGUCUUCAUAACAUUCACACCCAGUUCCGGGGAAAGACUUCGAAAUUUGCUACGGUUCUCCCAGCCGUUAGUCUCGCCCUAUCUUUCUUGAUGCUGAAAAAGUUCUUUAAAAAAACGCAGUCAUCUAGAUCACCCUGCAGAUGAGCUUGGCAUUAAAUUCCCGGGAUCACUAAGCUCUACCCGCUUAGACCCGGGCAGGAGAGGCCCCUGUCCUGGACCCCACGCUUUGAAGGACCUUACAUACCGCAAAUACAUCGAUUUAUUAAAAACACGGGGGCCUCGGCCACUCCUGGUCUGAUGCUGAACCCUGGCCCACAGCCAUAAGUGCCCUCUCCCUGGACCAACACUGUCCCGGCCGCUGGGAAACACUUCUUCAUGUCUCUUGUCCUUUGUCUUCAAAACAAAAGGUGGAACCCGGAAGCAGUGAGGAUCUGUGGGUGGGACAGCUGGCCUGGGCAGACAGAGGCUGCUGUGGAGUCCGGGUGGGAUUUGAGCAGCAAAGCGCUUAAAUAGGGUGAGAGGCAGAGAAGAAGCUCCUAUAAACCUCUCCAGUUUCCUGCUGAUUUCUUCAGGGGGCGGCGUCCUGUGUCAGAGCAGUACUCCUCUGUGCUCAUCUUGCACUUGGCCAAAACAAGGGGUGAAGAAGCUAAGCUCGGUUAAAAGGCAGAAGAGAAACAGGCAGAUCCCUGAAGUCCGCUGUUCUCCUGUUUUCCCCUACCCGAUAGCAGCAUAUUAAAAGCAUAAGCUUCCUGCAAAACUGAAAGAGAAGCCAAAGCUUUGCAGAUGGUACCCAGGCAGAGGGCCAGGAGGUAGAAACAGGCUCAUCAAGCCCCAGAGGGGAGCUAAGUCGCGCCGUCCACACGCUCCAGGUUCAGCGCUGCUGGUGAGGCGCCCCUUCCUUCCUUCUCUCCUGAGAAACCGGGCCUGCCUCCUCCCUGACGGGGCAUCAUUGCUUCCUCCACAACCAGGCGUGCUUGCCCGAGGACUCGCCGACCUCGCUGUCUGUCAGAGAAGCACAAAGACACCUGGUGUUACGUGUCCUUCUUUCUUCACUCUUCAAAACACAUCAUCUCCUACUUUUCAGUUUAUCUGUGGGCUCCCAUAAUGGGAAAAAAAGUAUGUAUUUGUCUACGGGUAUAGAUCCCCAUUCACCCUUCAACAGUGUUGGCACCGCUUUAGAUGUGUGAUAUACAGCAGUGAAGAAAACAGGUAAAUCCUGCCCUCCAAAGUCUUACAACGCAGUAGGAAUCAUUUGAUGUUGGUGGUGGUGCCAUGCAGUGGAUUCCGACUCCUAGCGCUCCAGCGCACAGCAUAGCAGACCCCUGCCCGGUCUUUCUCUGCCAUCCUCUCUCCUUCCGGCGCUGUACCAGACAACGCUCUGCUGCUAUUCACAGGGCUCUCAUGGCCAAUUUUUUCGGAAGUGGGUGGCCAGGUCCUCCUUCCUGGUCUGUCUUAGUCUGGAAGCUCCGCAGAGACCUGUCCACUGUGGGCGACCCUGCUGGUAUUUGAAAUACUGGUGGCUCAGCUUUCAGCAUCACAGCCACACGCAGUCACCGCAGUAUGACAAUCGUCAGACAGGGCUGACGACAGGGCUAGACUCCCAGUGCUGGUUAGUGGGAAUAAUAAUAGGCAAAAAUAAAAUAAACAGGUAGAUCUAUAGUUGAUGUAUGUCAGUAGAUGUAUAUUCAGUGCUAAGUGUUGUAUUAAAUAAAUAAAGCAGGGCAAGGGCAGUAUACAUUGUAUUUAAAAGUAGCAGAUGAGAGACGGUACAGAAUAUGGCUCUGGAGUUGACCUGGCUUUGACACUCAGGAGCUCCAUGACCUUGGUGAAGUUACUUGAACUUUUGUGGGCCUCAAUUUGCACCUCUGUAAAAUGGGGAUAACAAUAGCUCCUGCCUCAAAGGGCCGUUGUGAGGAUUAAAUGAUUGAAAAUAUGGAGAGCUGUUAGAACAGUGCCUGGCAUACAGUAAAUUCGAUGAACAUAAGCUAUGAACAUCGUUAAGAGGAGCAGAGAGUGACGGAGGGGUGCUACUUCAGACAGAACGUUCCAAGAAGGCCUGUGUGAGCUGGCAAAUGAAGUCAUGGAGAGAACCCGCGGCGUCUGGAGGAAGAAGCAGCAGGCAGGAGAGGCGAGCCCAAAGCACGGCAGCAGGGCUGGUGCGGGGUGAGCAGCAUGAGUGGGUGGGAGUGGCAGGAAAGGAGGUCACUGCCAGGCCCAGGUCAGCUGGGGCCGCCAAACUUCAGGUGUCGCUCUGCUGAGAAGACAGCAGAGGGCUUUGCGCGGAGGAGCUCACGACCUAAGGUUUAGAAAGCCCACCAUCCUAGCUGCUGCGUGGAGAACAAAGGACAGAGGGGCACGGCAGCGCACACCACUGCACAGCGGUCAACACAUUAAUAAGUAGGAAAACACAAGGUGCAACGGAAUGUUUGGUCCAUUUCCAUUUGCAUAAAAAGAAGAAAACUAUAAAUACAUGUGUGUUGAACUUAAAACUUUACCAACUGGAAAGUAAACAAACUUUAAAAGGAAAGAAAUGAAUCAGAAUCAUUUUACCCAGACAUUAAAAAAUGGUGGUGGAAGUGGAGUUGGGGGACACAGCGGCGACCAGAGGUGCUGAAACGGACGGGAUGCUUGGCGGGGACACAGUGUCAGCACCGAAGGGGCGACAGGUGUCUGCUCAAAGCAAAACUGAACUAAAGUGUCUUCCUGUUGCCUCUUCUACGUCAGCAACCGUUUGACCAGUGUCAGUUUUAUACAGUUAUUGUGUCGCACUUUCCUUCCACGAUUUUAUAGGGUUGUUCUACUGUCUGCUAGCAGCAAAUAUCCCGUGGAGAAGUCUGAAGCUAGCCUGAAUGGAUUUUCCUUUUUUAUAUCAUUUUUUCAACCUGCUUGUCCAAAAGUUAUUUGUUUUUCUUUGAAGGCAAAUAAAUGUAUUACAAUAUAUCUUGUUACAGAUGUUCCACAUUCAUUUUUUUCUGUGACCCUGUUAGGAUAGGCUAAACCGUUGGGAUAGAUCCCAAAUGAAAGGGUUCCAAGAAGACAGAGGUCUGAGGACCCCUGUUCUCCGCACAGACAUCCAGGGACUUGAGCCACUUGCCCCGCACUCUGGAAGAAGGAGAGGACAGACUGGGGUACCUGGCAAACAGACUUUGCCAAUGAUAUGCUGUGUCUCUUCAAUCAGUCAGUGUGCAGGUCUGGAAUGAACUUUAUUCAAGGCUGGCAUGCAUUUCGUCACUGCAGAUGACGACGCCUGCUUCCCUGGCAGGGAGGCGGGUUUUGGUGGCCGGAAUCUGCCUCGUGGCAUAGUGGAGGGAGAGGCAGACUCUGCAGGUAACUUCUCCUCUCGCGAGCUGCCCUGCCCCUGCGGGCGUUGUCCGUCUGCUCUAAUCCUCGCGUCCUUGGAGCAGCCAGCGCUGGGGUGGAGCAAGGAAGCCUUGACCUGCAGCAUUUGCUGAUUUCCGUGGCAUAAGUUCUUCUACCCCGGCCAUCAAGCCGACCACACACCAGCACGGGUUUGGAAUUGCUGUGCACGGAGACUCCUGAGAGCCUGGCUCGGGCACACUGCCGCUCUGGCGCUGCUGUGCUGAAUGACCGCUUCAGAAAACUGCACCCAUGGCCUCCUCGGAGCCGAACCACGGGGCCAGCGGCUGCAGGAGCGACGCCAGGAGUCGGACUGGGGUCGGGUCUGAAGGGUGUGGCUCUCAGUGCCCUGUUCCCUGUAAAGGUUUUAGGUUCUUCUGCUUGGCUAGAUUUUUCUGUCUGUUGAUUCCCAUUUCUUUUCAAAAAUUCCUUACUAGGAUUAGCCUCCUGGAAGCACCUUUGUGAUUUUUCUGUCCUGCUUUAAAUUUCUUUUUCUUUUUCUUUUUUUUGCCACUUGAGUGGGAUUUGGAGAAGGACAGGCAAAGCAGAAGUCUUCCUCUUAUUUCAUUCCGUGUUUUCCUCAGCAGUCAUGCCUCUUCCAUCUCGGAGGCCAAUUCUCUUCCUAAGACCAGUGGUUUCCUGCCCUUGUCCUGAAUGAUGCUUUGACUACCCAGGUCCACUAGCUGCUGACAACGUUCUGGGGAAACCUGGGUGGCUGAUGGACACUGUCACCUCUCCCUCCCGCUGGGCUCCACCUGGAGAGCAUGCUGCUCUGUUCACAGAGGCCAUUCACACUGGCCAGCAAGAAACGGCCCAGCAGGUGCCCUGCCCGCGGGUGGAGACCAGCUAGUGACAUGGGGUAGAGGUGGCUUCCUGAGGUGGCCAGAAGCAGAAGGAUCCAGGGGAGCGUUUUCCACUCUCUCCGGCCACAUGACAGGGCUGCCCAGAUUUAUUCAGAAGGAAGGUGAAGGUGGCCGGCUCGGAUCUCCUCCCUGUGACUCUUCGGUUAAUGCUACUUGGACCUCUCUGGCCAGGAGCAACUGUUACUUCACCCUGGAAACAUGGGCAGCUAGACCAUGAAAAGCAGUGCGACAUCCAUCUGGUUCUCCUGGGACGCUGAAUGUUGAGACUCACCCACCACGCUGUGAAGAAGCCCACAGCCCAUGGAGAGGUCCGAAGAGCCGGAGGACAGUUCCCCUGAGCUCCCAGCCAACAGCCAGAAGCAACUUGCCAGUCAUAUGAAUGGCACAUCUUGAAAGUGGAUCCUGCAAUCCCCAGGCGCGCCACCCCAGCCGAGGAGAUGGGGAGCAGAUCUGUGCUUCCCCCUAAGCCCUGCGCAAACUGCAGAUUCAGCAGCAAAGCAAAGGGUCGUGGUGGUUUUAAGCCACAGGUUUUGGAGUGGUAUGUUGUGCAGCCAUAGACACAUUCCUGGAUGUUGCCCACUUGUCUCCAUAAAACCCAAGCUUCAGUCUCACAGGGGGACUUGCUCCGAGGGCAAGUGAGGGGGAGAGGGGGAGAUUUGACCUCCCUCGCAACCUCUGCCGAAUCGUUGAUUUGCUUCCAGAGAGCAAGACUACACAAAAGUGUAUUUACAAUCUCCCCCUGACUUCAUCUUUACUUUUAAAUCUUUCCUCUCUUGAGAAUCUAUUUUCGUUGAAGGCAUGAUAUAGAGAUCUAACUUACUUUCCUUCAAGUUUUCACACAGCCG